UACAGAGGUCCCAAGCGUUGUUCGGAUUCAUUGGGCGUAAAGGGUGCGUAGGCGGCGGGGUAAGUCGGAUGUGAAAUCCCGGAGCUCAACUCCGGAACUGCAUUCGAUACUGCUCUGCUAGAGGACUGGAGAGGGAGAUUGGAAUUCACGGUGUAGCAGUGAAAUGCGUAGAUAUCGUGAGGAAGACCAGUGGCGAAGGCGGAUCUCUGGACAGUUCCUGACGCUGAGGCACGAAGGCCAGGGGAGCAAACGGG
rnacentral:rRNA from 1 species